GCCUGUUUAGCUCAGUCGGUAGAGCGCACGGCUGUUAACCGUUAGGUCAUAGGUUCGAGUCCUAUAACAGGCGCCA
rnacentral:tRNA from 1 species